AUUGAACGCUGGCGGCAUGCCUUACACAUGCAAGUCGAACGGUAACAGGUCUUCGGAUGCUGACAAGUGGCGAACGGGUGAGUAAUACAUCGGAACGUGCCUAGUAGUGGGGGAUAACUACUCGAAAGAGUGGCUAAUACCGCAUGAGAUCUACGGAUGAAAGCAGGGGAUCGCAAGACCUUGUGCUACUAGAGCGGCCGAUGGCAGAGUAGGUAGUUGGUGGGAUAAAAGCUUACUAAGCCGACGAUCUGUAGCUGGUCUGAGAGGACGAUCAGCCACACUGGGACUGAGGCACGGCCCAGACUCCUACGGGAGGCAGCAGUGGGGAAUUUUGGACAAUGGGCGAAAGCCUGAUCCAGCAAUGCCGCGUGCAGGAUGAAGGCCUUCGGGUUGUAAACUGCUUUUGUACGGAACGAAAAGCCCCGGGUUAAUACCCUGGGGUCAUGACGGUACCGUAAGAAUAAGCACCGGCUAACUACGUGCCAGCCGCCGCCGUAA
rnacentral:rRNA from 1 species